rnacentral:rRNA from 1 species
AUUGAACGCUGGCGGCAGGCCUAACACAUGCAAGUCGAACGAGUGGCGGACGGGUGAGUAAUGUCUGGGACACUGCCUGAUGGAUGGGGAUAACUACUGGAAACGGUAGCUACUACCGCAUACAAUACAAUUGGCCCAGAUGGGAUUAGCUUGUUGGUGGGGUAACGUCUCACCAAGGCGCCGAUCCCUAGCUGGUCUGAGAGGAUGCACAGCCACACUGGAACUGAGACACGGUCCAGACGCCUACGGGAGGCAGCAGUGGGGAAUAUUGCACAAUGGGCGCAAGCCUGAUACAGCCAUGCCGCGUGUAUGAAGAAGGCCUUCGGGUUGUAAAGGACUUUCAGCGGGGAGGCGUUACCCGCAGAAGAAGCACCGGCUAACUCCGUGCCAGCAGCCGCGGUAAUUC